rnacentral:rRNA from 1 species
AACGCUGGCGGCGUGCCUAAUACAUGCAAGUCGAGCGGACAGAUGGGAGCUUGCUCCCUGAUGUUAGCGGCGGACGGGUGAGUAACACGUGGGUAACCUGCCUGUAAGACUGGGAUAACUCCGGGAAACCGGGGCUAAUACCGGAUGGUUGUUUGAACCGCAUGGUUCAGACAUAAAAGGUGGCUUCGGCUACCACUUACAGAUGGACCCGCGGCGCAUUAGCUAGUUGGUGAGGUAACGGCUCACCAAGGCGACGAUGCGUAGCCGACCUGAGAGGGUGAUCGGCCACACCUGGGAACUUGAGGACACGGCCMAGACUCCUACGGGAGRCAGMMGUAKGGAAUCUYSCSCAAUGGACGAAAGUCUGACGGAGCARCGCCGCGUGGAGUGAUGAAGGUUUUCGGAUCGUAAAGCUCUGUUGUUAGGGAAGAACAAGUGCCGUUCAAAUAGGGCGGCACCUUGACGGUACCUAACYAGAAAGCCACGGGCUAACUACGGUGCCAGCAGCCGCGGUAAUACGUAGGUGGCAAGGCGUUGUCCGGGAAUUAUUGGGCGUAAAGGGCUCGCCAGGCGGUUUCUUAAGUCUGAUGUUGAAAGCCCCCGGCUCAACCGGGGAGGGUCAUUGGAAACUGGGGAACUUGAGUGCAGAAGAGGAGAGUGGAAUUCCACGUGUAGCGGUGAAAUGCGUUAGAGAUGUGGAGGAACACCAGUGSCGAAGGCGACUCUCUGGUUCUGUAACUGACGCUGAGGAGCGAAAGCGUGGSGAGCGAACAGGAUUUAGAUACCCUGGUAGUSCACGCCCGUAAAACGAUGAGUGCYAAGUGUUAGGGGGUUUCCGCCCCUUAGUGCUGCAGCUAACGCAUUAAGCACUCCGCCUGGGGAGUACGGUCGCAAGACUGAAACUCAAAGGAAUUGACGGGGGCCCGCACAAGCGGUGGAGCACGUGGUUUAAUUCGAAGCAACGCGAAGAACCUUACCAGGUCUUGACAUCCUCUGACAAUCCUAGAGAUAGGACGUCCCCUUCGGGGGCAGAGUGACAGGUGGUGCAUGGUUGUCGUCAGCUCGUGUCGUGAGAUGUUGGGUUAAGUCCCGCAACGAGCGCAACCCUUGAUCUUAGUUGCCAGCAUUCAGUUGGGCACUCUAAGGUGACUGCCGGUGACAAACCGGAGGAAGGUGGGGAUGACGUCAAAUCAUCAUGCCCCUUAUGACCUGGGCUACACACGUGCUACAAUGGACAGAACAAAGGGCAGCGAAACCGCGAGGUUAAGCCAAUCCCACAAAUCUGUUCUCAGUUCGGAUCGCAGUCUGCAACUCGACUGCGUGAAGCUGGAAUCGCUAGUAAUCGCGGAUCAGCAUGCCGCGGUGAAUACGUUCCCGGGCCUUGUACACACCGCCCGUCACACCACGAGAGUUUGUAACACCCGAAGUCGGUGAGGUAACCUUUAUGGAGCCAGCCGCCGAAGGUGGGACAGAUGAUUGGGGUGAAGUC